rnacentral:lncRNA from 1 species
GGGAACGGGACCAAAGGUUGAUCAACACACUUCCAAGGGACAGUCUUUUCCCAAGGGAGUCAGGCUGAAGCCUGCACACGUAUAGUUCUGAUGAUAGUCCAGAAGUCAGACCAAAAGCUAAGCAAUUUCAGUUGAAACAGUCUGGUUCCAAAAGGAAUUGGACCAAAGGCUAGCAUAGUUCAAAGGAAUAGCCUGAUUCAAAGGGUUAGGCUGAAGUGCCACCCAAGUGCUUACAGACAAACAAGCCCUUAACCAGAAAAGGACGAAGACUUGAAAUAGAUCUUGACUACAGCCUGGAGAGCCUCCAAUAGGGUGGAAGCUUGGAUCCAGAAAAGACUUACCUUCAAACUCCAGGGCUGACAAGAAAAGCAGCGAGCUCAAUGAGCUCUCUUGUAGCACAGGGAUCUGGAAGGCUUAUGCAACAAUGGACAUUUCUGCUGUGGAGUCUUCAAAUUACUUAUCUUCAUCAUCCAGAUUCAUCUUUUGUUUGCUCUCUGUGCAUACCAAUUUUCAUUCUGGUUCAUUGUGAUGUGCUUAAAACUCUUCAAGGGCAUUUCUCUUGCUCUUGGGAUAAAGAGAAAGCAGCUGCAAUGGAAAGAACACGGAUGACAAAGGCAAUGUGGACACAGAGCACUCUUACAGACAGCAAGCUCUUCACGCCAAAGAGCACUCCUGGGAUUUCCAAGUAAAACUGAUGGAAACUUUCACAGUGUAUUGGGAGAAGGAAAACAUUCCAAGGAACCAAUGGAUAAAGAGCAAAUCCUUAUGUUUUAGGGAAUUGCAUUAGUUAGGACCUUCCUCUUGUCAUGUUUAUUUUAGAUUCUUGUCCCUAUUGUUACCUCUCUCUAUAGAUUCUCAUUCUAAUGAGUUUGAUAUAUAUGUCAUUUAAUAUGAGUAUAUCCCUGUCAAAAUAUGUAGUGUUCCGUAUAUAUUAGUGUAUGCAGGUGAUUUUAUUUACAUAAAUAUUAUUGAACUAUAGGUUUUAUUCUAUUUAUGUUUUUAUGCAACAUGCCAGAUCUAUCCAUGUUGCUACUUUUACUGCUAUCUGGCAUCUGCAUAUUAUGAAUACAUAGUAUGUAAAUAUAUCUACCAAAUUCCCCUGUAAUAACCACUUAGGCUGUCCCUAAUUUCUAACUUUUCUGCUGGAGUUCUGUUUCUCAAAGUGUUUUAAAGAGAGUGUUUUCAGAGGCAUUUGUAACUGAGAAUAUCUUCAGUUGACCAACCUAUUAACUAUAAUAAACCAG